AUUGAACGCUGGCGGCAUGCCUAACACAUGCAAGUCGCACGCGAAAGGGGGCAACCCUGAGUAGAGUGGCGGACGGGUGAGUAACGCGUAGGAAUCUACCUGGUAGUGGGGGACAACCCGGUGAAAACCGGGCUAAUACCGCAUACGAUCCACGGAUGAAAGCAGGGGACCGCAAGGCCUGGCGCUAUCAGAUGAGCCUGCGUCGGAUUAGCUAGCUGGUGGGGUAAAGGCCCACCAGGGCGACGAUCCGUAGCUGGUUUGAGAGAACGACCAGCCACACUGGGACUGAGACACGGCCCAGACUCCUACGGGAGGCAGCAGUGGGGAAUAUUGGACAAUGGGGGCAACCCUGAUCCAGCAAUGCCGCGUGUGUGAAGAAGGCCUUCGGGUUGUAAAGCACUUUCGGUGGGGACAAACAAGGUGGAGCUAACAUCUCCGCCUCUGAUGGUACCCAAAGAAGAAGCACCGGCUAACUCUGUGCCAGCAGCCGCCGUAA
rnacentral:rRNA from 1 species